UGAAGCCAUAGGCGUUGCUAUGGGGGGAGGAGGAGGGGCGAGGGGCUAAAGCCCCAGAGGUGCUGCUCUUUGGCCCCUGAUUUUUAAAGUUAGUCGAGGGGGCAGGAGGUUGUUUUUUAUGGAGAUUAGGGUUUUUUAUUUUUUUUUAUUUUUACUUUAUCAGGCAGCUGCUUUCAGAAAAAUAAACAUCAAAAUUAUAGUUGCUAUGGGGUGGGAGGAGGGAAAGGGUCCCAAGGGUGCAGCUCUUUAGACCCUGAUUUUUACAGUUAGUGCAGGGGGGAAGGAAGAUAUUUUUAGGGUUGCUCUUUUUUGUUUUGUUUUUUUUAGAAUUUUUAGUUUAGCAACAAGCAGCUGCAUUUUAGCUUUUUAGAAGUAGC